GACAAACCUAAGGUUAUGGUCUGCAGCUCACUGUGUUUUACUCUAAUAUAAAUGAUAACUUUGUUUAUAAUAUAUGUAGUAUUAUAUAUAGUAUUUAUAUUGUAACCAGGGCCAUUUCUGAGCAUAAAGGGUUCCUCAGCAAAGUACUUACUUCCAUUAUCACUAGCAGAAUUUGUAUUUGAAGGCAAGAUCAUCAGUGAUGCUUUCAUUGUUUAUUUAUAUAGAUAAAUAGAUUAUUACCUCAAACACUGAGAUGACUUCAGCUGCACACACACACACACAUGUUGUUAAUAACACAAUGUAUUUAUGCAUGUCUUAUUUAUGUCACAUUAUGUUUGAACUGAACUAAUUACAAUGAUACACAGAUCCAGCUGACAGUGCAUCAGAGACUGUAGACUUUAUGACUGAUGGAUCAUUAUUCAGAGUGAUUUUGAUAAUUGUUGAGAUUGCAGUGUUUGCGGCUCCUACUGUGAUUCUCCUUCAGAGUCUCUGUACAAGAGCUGGAAGGAAGAACUCUCACCACCCAAAGGAAAAAGAGAUGUCUACAGUAUUACAAUGAAAUACCCUUUAUAAAUGUACUAUUUAUAAAAAGAUUCCAGCACAAUUUAUUUUAAAGCUUAUGGAUAUUUUAGAUAUUUGCAUACAGCUUUCAAUGUCAUUUUCCAUUGCUCUAUAUUGUACAGACUGCUUUUAAAUAUGAUAUGAAAUAAAGUAAUCAACAGAGCGAGACAGAUACCUUAAUAAAAAUAUGAUUGUUUACACAG